CUGGAGGGUUCAUUUUAGGCAGGAGUUGUCUUUUUCUUCUGCUGUACGGUCGACGCAACCGGAUCUCUUUCCUGGGAAGAAAAUUAUAAUUAGACUCUGUAUUUCUUUCUCUUUCCCAAUAUCCGGAAAUGGCGGGUGGAGUGAACAGGAAGAUAUCUGCGGCUUCCGCUAGAGCUCACACUAGACGAGCUAAGCAAAACAGUUCUCUUAAGCUUCCUCCUGGGAUUUUUUCAAAAAUACUAUUGGUCUUGCUUGUGGGGAUUUUGGCUUGGGCUUAUCAGGUGAUCCGACCUCCUCCACCCAAGGUGUGUGGUUCACCAGGUGGGCCUCCUAUUACAGCACCAAGAAUAAAACUUAGAGAUGGGAGACAUUUGGCCUACAAAGAACAUGGUGUCUCAAAAAAUAUGGCCAAGUUUAAAAUUAUAGUUGUCCAUGGUUUUGGUUCUUGCAGGCACAAUCCUGCUGUUGCCAAUCACCUUUC
rnacentral:misc_RNA from 1 species